AGCCAUUCUUUGCUUCUAUCCAAAAGAUGUGGGAUCAUAAAACAUGGCUGAGUGGGUGUAUGAGCUGCAGUUUUCUUCACCCCACACAUCUCUCUCUCCAUGCAGGCUGGUAUAGGAAACAAGGUUUAGCAGGCAACUAGAAAAGGGGGAAAUGUUCAUUUCUGAGAUGUUUUCCUGUAUUUCAAGACUGGCUUCACUUUGGCCCUGGUACCAGGAGAUGCCUGCCCAAAAUGCCUCCUGUUCCACUUCUCUAAGUCUACUAGCAACAUUUCAUGAAGUUUCACCCCCUUCCUUUAAUCUGCGUCAGGGAUGAAGUGUUUGACCCACAUGGGCCAUUCAACAACACAGCUGUCUGACUGCAACUCCACAUUGGACCCCUGAAUCCAAGGUGAGCAGGAGCAAUAUAAAUUGUGCAAGAUUUGUAGAGGUGAGCUUAGAUUUUAAUGGAAUCUGACAAAAAUGGAGGAAAUGGUCACAAGUAGUCACAAUUCCUAAGAAACUUGGGAAGGGUGCCUGCAAGCCUUACCUUGAAUGAGCUUUCUUAAGUGUUAUGCCUACAGAUGGAAUUCCAAAUUAUCAGUGGCUUCAAAAUUAUAUUUAUUCCUCAGGAGAUGAGCAUGGUGUCACUCUCAAGAUGGGCGGUGCUUAUAUGCAAAAUUAGCAUGCCAUAUGGAUAUAAGAAUUAGCAUGCUUAUAUGCAGAAUUAGUGUGCCACUGAAUUAGCAUAGCUGAGGCUUGUAACAAUUCCUUUGGUCAUCUCUCCUCAACUCAGGUGUGGCUGAGGUGAGUGCUUGCAUUCUCAAUUCUGUUCUAGUCACUCCAACAAGGGGCCAAGAGAGGGUAGUCUGCACCCCACCUCAGUCCCUCAGAAAUCCAGUAGAGUUGGGCUGUAUAAGAAAGUCUAGAUGUAACAGGUAUGAUAAAAUCACGUGUUGACUGAAGUGUAUUUGUGAUGUUUAGCUAAACGCAGCUUAUAUACAUGCCAAUUCCCCCACUGUCUGAGCCAGCCAAUGAAUUUGUGGGCAAACCCUAGGAUUGCCCGGGUAGGGCAGGGGGAGUUCAGGAAAGCCAGUACAGAAUAGGAAGAUACCACUAUUUUUAAAAUCAGUAUUUGGCAGCCUAUGUUUCCUCAAGAUCUAGAAAUAAUUAUUUUAUCGUUACGAUAUGAAGAGUCAGUAUAGACCACU
rnacentral:lncRNA from 1 species